AAUAUUGCACAAUGGGGGGAACCCUGAUGCAGCGACGCCGCGUGAGUGAAGAAGUAAUUCGUUAUGUAAAGCUCUAUCAGCAGGGAAGAAAAUGACGGUACCUGACUAAGAAGCCCCGGCUAACUACGUGCCAGCAGCCGCGGUAAUACGUAGGGGGCAAGCGUUAUCCGGAUUUACUGGGUGUAAAGGGAGCGUAGACGGCAUAGCAAGUCUGAAGUGAAAGGCAUGGGCUCAACCCGUGGACUGCUUUGGAAACUGUUAAGCUGGAGUGCAGGAGAGGUAAGUGGAAUUCCUAGUGUAGCGGUGAAAUGCGUAGAUAUUAGGAGGAACACCAGUGGCGAAGGCGACUUUCUGGACCGUAACUGACGUUGAGGCACGAAAGUGUGGGGAGCAAA
rnacentral:rRNA from 1 species